CGAUGAUCCCAGCUUGCUGGGGGAUUAGUGGCGAACGGGUGAGUAACACGUGAGUAACCUGCCCUUGACUCUGGGAUAAGCCUGGGAAACUGGGUCUAAUACCGGAUACGACCAUCUGGCGCAUGUCAUGGUGGUGGAAAGCUUUUGUGGUUUUGGAUGGACUCGCGGCCUAUCAGCUUGUUGGUGGGGUAAUGGCCUACCAAGGCGACGACGGGUAGCCGGCCUGAGAGGGUGACCGGCCACACUGGGACUGAGACACGGCCCAGACUCCUACGGGAGGCAGCAGUGGGGAAUAUUGCACAAUGGGCGCAAGCCUGAUGCAGCGACGCCGCGUGAGGGAUGACGGCCUUCGGGUUGUAAACCUCUUUCAGUAGGGAAGAAGCGAAAGUGACGGUACCUGCAGAAGAAGCGCCGGCUAACUACGUGCCAGCAGCCGCGGUAAUACGUAGGGCGCAAGCGUUAUCCGGAAUUAUUGGGCGUAAAGAGCUCGUAGGCGGUUUGUCGCGUCUGCUGUGAAAGACCGGGGCUCAACUCCGGUUCUGCAGUGGGUACGGGCAGACUAGAGUGCAGUAGGGGAGACUGGAAUUCCUGGUGUAGCGGUGAAAUGCGCAGAUAUCAGAGGAACACCGAUGGCGAAAGCAGGUCUCUGGGCUGUAACUGACGCUGAGGAGCGAAAGCAUGGGGAGCGAACAGGAUUAGAUACCCUGGUAGUCCAUGCCGUAAACGUUGGGCACUAGUGUGGGGACAUUCCACGUUUUCCGCGCCGUAGCUAACGCAUUAAGUGCCCCGCCUGGGGAGUACGGCCGCAGGCUAAACUCAAAGGAUUGACGGGGCCCGCACAGCGCGAAGCAUGCGAAUAUCGAUGCACGCGAGACUACAGGCUGACAUGGA
rnacentral:rRNA from 1 species